rnacentral:rRNA from 1 species
CCUACGGGUGGCUGCAGUGGGGAAUAUUGGACAAUGGGCGAAAGCCUGAUCCAGCCAUGCCGCGUGUGUGAAGAAGGCCUUCGGGUUGUAAAGCACUUUCAGUGGGGAAGAAAGCCUUGGGGCUAAUACCCUCGAGGAAGGACAUCACCCACAGAAGAAGCACCGGCUAACUCCGUGCCAGCAGCCGCGGUAAUACGGAGGGUGCGAGCGUUAAUCGGAAUUACUGGGCGUAAAGCGCGCGUAGGCGGUCUGAUAAGCCGGUUGUGAAAGCCCCGGGCUCAACCUGGGAACGGCAUCCGGAACUGUCAGGCUAGAGUGCAGGAGAGGAAGGUAGAAUUCCCGGUGUAGCGGUGAAAUGCGUAGAGAUCGGGAGGAAUACCAGUGGCGAAGGCGGCCUUCUGGACUGACACUGACGCUGAGGUGCGAAAGCGUGGGUAGCAAACAGGAUUAGAUACCCUAGUAGUC